rnacentral:rRNA from 1 species
AACGAGCGCUGGCGGCGUGCUUAACACAUGCAAGUCGAACGGAAAGGCCCUGCUUUUGUGGGGUGCUCGAGUGGCGAACGGGGGAGUAACACGUGAGUAACCUGCCCUUGACUUUGGGGUAACUUCAGGAAACUGGGGCUAAUACCGGAUAGGAGAUCCUGCUCGAUGGUGGGGGGUGGAACUUUUCGGCUGGUGGGGUUGGACUCGCGGCUGAUCAACUUGUUUGUGGGGGAGUGGCUUGCCAAGGCUUUGACGGGUCAGCGACCGGAGAGGGUGGACGGCCACCUUGGGCCUGCGAUACGGCGCAGAGUCGUACGUGAGACAGUAGUGGCGAAUCUUGCACAAUGGGCGGAAGCCUGAUGAAGAAACGCUGCGUGCGGGAUGACGGUUUUCGGGUUGUAAACAGCUUCAGCUUGUGACGCAGCUGUAGUGACGGUAAUGAGUAAAGAAGCACCGGCUAACUACGUG